rnacentral:rRNA from 1 species
UACAGAGGUGGCAAGCGUUGUUCGGAAUUACUGGGCGUAAAGGGCGCGUAGGCGGCCACCGCAAGUCAAUUGUGAAAUCUCCGGGCUUAACUCGGAAAGGUCAACUGAUACUGCGGGGCUAGAGUGCGGAAGGGGCAACUGGAAUUCUCGGUGUAGCGGUGAAAUGCGUAGAUAUCAGGAGGAAUACCGAUGGCGAAGGCAGGUCUCUGGGCUGACACUGACGCUCAUGCACGAAAGCGUGGGGAGCAAACAGG